AGGGGGAAGUCGGAGCACCCAGAGGAAACCCACACAGUCGCAGAGAGAACAUGAACAGAAAGAACCAGCUGAGCAGCAGAAGAUAAAGAGAUGGUUGGAGGAGCCCCAGGACAGCAGAACCAGGCCAGGAAGAUGAAGAAGAUGAAGACCAGCCCCAAAUGGACAAGAAGAAGAAGAAGAGCGGCUCCAGAUUUCUCCAAUGGUUUCUCUGGAUCUGGAGCUGCAUGUUUCUGAUCUGCUGUUAUUGGCCUCAGCGACCUCCACAGUCUUCAUGUUCUUUU